rnacentral:rRNA from 1 species
UACGAAGGGGGCUAGCGUUGCUCGGAAUCACUGGGCGUAAAGCGCGUGUAGGCGGUCUGGCAAGUCAGAUGUGAAAGCCCCGGGCUCAACUUGGGAACUGCAUUUGAUACUGCCAAGCUAGAGUACAGAAGAGGUGACUGGAAUUCCCAGUGUAGCGGUGAAAUGCGUAGAUAUUGGGAGGAACACCAGAUGCGAAGGCGGGUCACUGGGCUGAUACUGACGCUAAAGCGCGAAAGCCAGGGGAGCGAACGGG